rnacentral:lncRNA from 1 species
UAAGAACCUUCCAUUCUUCCUUUAGCCUAUCCAAUUUCUCAACACUCAUUCCCUCUUCAACGGCACUAUCCAAUGUCUCAGCACUCGUUCCCCCUUCAGUGGCAGCGCCAGGCCCAUGGAGGUGGCUAAGGCCAUUUACUGCCUCCACAAAGGACCGUGUGACCUUGUCAGCAGUAAAUGAGUGCAUCCCAGUUUCAUCACCGAUUGAGUUCAGCGACUUCCCCAAUUUAAGCCUUCUCAUAGCUAUGGCCACUUUAGCAUCCACGGUUAAUUCCCUGUUAUCGUUAAAUUUGUAUUUCGGUGAAUUGCCCAGAGGCUCCUUCACAAGAGUGCAUAAGUCUCUGAAGGUUCUCAUCGAGAUCCCACAGAAUGUUUCAACUCUGUUCGAGUAUUCCCGUGGAGUAAACUGUCCUGCAAAGAAGAGAAGAUAAUGCAUUUACAUAUGUCAAUUUAACCUGAUGAAACAAUCACUCAUGAGACCGGAAACAUACUUGGUUCAGCCUGUUUGAACUACUACACAAAAUGAGAAGAAAAUUUAUUUCAUCACAUUAUAUUCUGUACAGCGGAACAGUCAUAAAAUUUUGAACUCGCAACCCAGUAUAAUAAGAGGAUAUUUGUAUAAGAAUAUGGAAAAAAGAUUGUGGACAAUCAAGACAACAUUAACAACUAUCACACACAUAUGCUAAAAUACUCAUGCGCACAUGCUAUCUUUAACUUGAUUCUUGGGUUAACACCAAAAUAGGAUUAAGUGGAAAGUACAGCCUUAAGAAUUAUUAGAUUCGAAAGAUGCAAGGACACUAAAUUAGAAGAAGAAUACCAGCAAACCUGAAAUAGAGGUCAGAAAUUCCGAAGUAACAUUUAAAAAUACUUAGAAAUUGUGAAGUUUAACAGCGAACACACACAAAACAAGCGGUUCAAUUCCACUGAUAGCUUAAAGUGUCUAGACUUAGCAACGAGAGGGAAGAAUGUGAGAGUCUUAGGUUUGCAAGACAUCUAUGUCCUUUUUUAACAAAAAGCUUCUGGCUAGUCAGAGAAAGUUUGUUUUCCUUUAAAAAAUUCACCUCCAUAAGUCAAUAAAACUACAUUGUAUCUUGAGUUCUUGACAGAAACGUCAUGUAAUUAUCGAAAAUUAUGAUUUAUUGCAUUUGACCUACCGGUUGGUUCACAGCCUGCUUCUUUUGGUGGGACUAGAUUUAUUGCAUUUGACCUGCCAGUAUCCUGUUUCUGGUGCACUAAGCUACUCCUUAACUUCUUAGGAAAGCUCUUUAUAGGAUUUCCCUGGGCAGGCUUCUCCUCUUCAUCUAUACUUGAACCAUGACCAUUGUUCUUUGGAACAAGGUUGGAAUCUAAGGAUAAAAGAAUAUUUGAUCAGUAAAGAAAAUACAAUCCAAACUUUAACAAGAAAUAAAAUGGUCAACUCUGUAAGUUGAAAUAAUAUCUGAAAUACAUAUAGAGGAUACUUGCAGAGUCAGAAUAGAAAUUUUUUACUGAGAUAACCAUAAUGAGAAUAAAACAUAAUCCUAGAUAAAUAAUCUUUUACGAAACCAGUGCACAGUCAAAUUUUACAAUACCAGUGCACAGUCAAAUAUGAAAUACAGAUGCAACAAAUAUACAUAUAAUUCCUGAAAUUGUAGUCCAGUGGAUCCCCGGACCCAUAACCCUUAGUAAAAAGAUAAGGAUUCGACACCCUGUGGAUAUAACUGUUUGAGCAAGUACUUAAAUUUCUUGUGAUUGACCUUACCCCAAAGAAAGAAAUAAACAUUUAUAUAUAACUAGAAAAUUCAAGACUUAAAAACAAUUAUUCUGUCUCAAUAAUACUUCUCAUAGAUGAAAUACAUGGAUACUACCAUUAUUAUAUUGUGAAUCCCCUAGAUAUGUCAAUUUGAACUAAUUAAACAAUCACUCAUGAGACUGGAAACAUACUUGGUUCUGCCCGUUUGAACUACUACACGAAAUGCGAAGAAAAUUUAUUUCAUCACAUUGAUUUCUGUACAAUGGAACAGUCAUAAAAUUUUAAACUCAAACCCGGUAUAAUAAGAGGAUAUUUGUAUAAGAAUAUGGAAAACAGAUCGUGGACUAUCAAGACAACUUUUAACAACUAUUACACACAUAUGCUAAUACUCAUGCGCACAUGCUAUAUUCAACUUGAUUCUUGGGUUAACACCAAAAUAGGAUUAAGUGGAAAGUACAGCCUUAAGAAUUAUUAGAUUCGAAAGAUGCAAGGAUACUAAAUUAGAAGCAGAAUACCAGCACCUGAAAUAGAGGUCAGAAAUUCCGAAGUAACAUUUACAAAUACUUAGAAAUCGUCAAGUUUAACAGCGAACACACACUAAACAAGCGGUUCAAUUCCACUGAUAGCUUAAAGUGUCUAGACUUAGCAUCGAGAGGGAAGAAUGUGUGAGUCUACGUCCUUUUUUUAUCUAAAAGCUUCUGGAUAGUCAGAGAAAAGUUUGUUUUCUUUUAAAAAAUACAUCUCCAUAAGUCAAUAAAACUACAUUUUAUCUUGAGUUCUUGACAGAAACGUCAUGUAAUUAUCGAAAAUUAAGAUUUAUUGCAUUUGACCUACCGGUUGGUUCACUUGCUGCUGCUUCGUUUGGCGGGACUAGAUUUAUUGCAUUUGACCUGCCAUUAUCCUGUUUCUGGUGCACUAAGCUACUCCUUAACUUCUUAGGAAAGCUCUUUAUAGAAUUUCCCUGGGCAGGCUUCUCCUCUUCAUCUAUACUUGAACCAUGACGUUUGUACCUUGGAACAAGGUCGGAAUCUAAGGAUCAAAGAAUAUUUUGAUUAGUAAAGAAAAUACACUCCCAACUUUAAUAAGAAAUAAAAUGGUCAACUCUUUAAGUUGAAAUAAUAUCUGAAAUACAUAUAGAGGAUACUUGCAGAGUCAGAAUAGAAAUUUUUUUCUGGGAUAACCAUAAAUGAGAAUAAAACAUAAUCCUAGAUAAAUAAUCUUUUACGAAACCAGUGCACAGUCAAAUUUUAAAAUCUUAGGUUCCUUAUUGUCUUACAUCAAUAAGCACCAAAUACUAUACAUGAAAUACAGAUGCAACAAAUAUACAUAUAGUUCCUGAAAUUGUAGUCCAGUGGAUACCCGAACCCAUAACCCUUAGUAACAAGAUAAGGAUUCGACACCCUGUGGAUACAACUGUUUGAGCAAGUACUUAAAUUUCUUGUGAUUGACCUUACCCCAAAGAAAGAAAUAAACAUUUAUAUAUAACUAGGAAAUUCAAGACUUAAAAACAAUUAUUCUGUCUCAAUAAUACUACUUAUAGAUGAAAUACAUGGAUACUACCAUUAUUAUAUUGUGAAUCCCCUAGAUAUGUCAAUUUGAACUAAUUAAACAAUCACUCAUGAGACCGGAAACAUACUUGGUUCUGCCCGUUUGAACUACUACACGAAAUGUGAGGAAAAUUUAUUUCAUCACAUUGAUUUCUGUACAAUGGAACAGUCAUAAAAUUUUAAACUCAAAACCCAGUAUAAUAAGAGGAUAUUUGUAUAAGAAUAUGGAAAACAGAUUGUGGACUAUCAAGACAACUUUUAACAACUAUUACACACAUAUGCUAAUACUCAUGCGCACAUGCUAUAUUUAACUUGAUUCUUGGGUUAACACCAAAAUAGGAUUAAGUGGAAAGUACAGCCUUAAGAAUUAUUAGAUUCGAAAGAUGCAAGGAUACUAAAUUAGAAGCAGAAUACCAGCAAACCUGAAAUAGAGGUCAGAAAUUCUGAAAUAACAUUUACAAAUACUUAGAUAAUGUCAAGUUUAAGAGAGAAUACACACUAAACAAGUGGUUCAAUUCCACUGAUAGCUUAAAGUGUCUAGACUUAGCAACGAGAGGGAAGAAUGUGAUAUUCUUAAGUAUGCAAGACAUCUAUGUCCUUUUUUAUCUAAAAGCUUCUGGCUAGUCAGAGAAAAGUUUGUUUUCUUUUCAAAAUACAUCUCAAUAAGUCAAUAAAACUACAUUGUAUUCUUGAGUUUUGGACAAAAACUUCAUGUAAUUAUCAAAGAUGCAAUUCCUUCACUCUCCUAUGCUGUAAAUCCAUCACUUAAGCGAACUUAUUAAAGAGAAAAUUUUUGAAUACUAAAAGUUAAGAAUUUGCACCUGAGCUUAAGAAAAAUGUUAUCCACAGAUGCAUGCAUUUAGAUUUUCUUAUUUCUUUAACCUCUAAUAUAGAUGAUAAGACGACGCCUGAAAAAUUGAUUGUCAAAUGCUUAUCAUGAAUGACACUGGACGACUUUCUUAAUUCAAAACACAAAGUUUCUCCUUGCAUUCAACACAGAGUAGUACAAUUCCAAAUCAAACAAAUACUCCUUACAUGUUACAGAAGUGAUAUGUACCUGAUAUAGCAGGCGGCGAGUCAACAUUUCUCACCAAUGAUAUGAGCCACUGCACUACAUCGUCCCGGUUUCUCCACUGUGUAUAUGCAUUAAUGGUUGCAUUCGACCCAAAAGCCUCAAGAUACUCCUUCGCAACUACAUACAUCAUCCGACCUUCUCUGUUCUCAUUACCAACAGCAGCAAGCAGUGAAAUUCCUGAAUACGAUCUCAAGUGAUAUUCGACAUUGACCUCAGAAAUAGUUCUCUCUUCCCAGGCAUUGUAGUUAUGUUUUUUCCCACCCAUCCUAAUGACAGACACACACUCAGACAAUAAGAAUCAAAGUGUAACAAUAUAAAUAGUUAAUUACUCAAACACAUAACCACCAGCAAACCGCCCUCCCCCCCCCUCCCCCCCCCCCCCNAAUUACCCAAAUCAAUUAGAGGUAAAAUUCAGCAUGACAACCGAAAGGCUCUUCUUUCUUGUAAACACCCCAACCCACCCCACACACACACACACACUUACUUUUCAAUCCCAACAAUAACACAAAAUGAAUAAAAGAACUGACAAACUUGGAAAUAAUUAUCUGAUUAAUAUCCAUCUCGAAAGGAAUACAAACAAAUCUAUUAGUAGCAGUUGUGCACAAGGUUGAAUGACCCCCGAAGGACCUCGACAAGGUGUAGGAAAAACAGAAAACUCAACCAGAGAUGUGUUACAUAUAUACAAUAUAGAGUCAGCCAGUCAGGGAAAACAUAUAAAAAAAUCAUUAAACAGAUAACUGCUUUAUAAGAUAAUGCAGGGUAAAAGUUAUUAAAAUAUAAAUGAAAAAAUUGGGAAUAGCACCUACCUUGAGUGGCAACGAGUACAAGUUUAUGCAAACUAUGGCACAGCGUGAGGCACUAAGAAGAAGAUUUUUUUGUUUCAAAUUAAAAAAAUGGCUUUCACCUAUACAAGACUAACAUAACAACCAGAAGAUAUAAACACUGUGGAAAAAUUCAAUUUUGAUUGCGAUAGAGCCAUUGAAUGCUGCUGAGGUGAUAUCUUUGGACAAUACUGUACUGACAAAUCUUAAAAGUAACAUUAAAGAGUAACGUACAAUCGAGAUAGGUAAAGAGGAAGAGAAAGUCAAGGACUCAGAGAUUGGAAUAUGCUUACAUCUUCUGCAGAGAUGGCAAUUUGACAACAUCUCGUAAAUGUAAAACCGAAAAAAAAAAACACUGUUGAUAUAUGUGCAUAAAGAAUAAACAUACAGAAAACCAGAUGCACACACAUAAACCAAGUAAAAUGGUCAGCAGCAAAAAACUAUUAAUUACAUCGCUGCAUAUUACCUCGAGCUAAAUUUCCUUUGCUUCUCUGAAAGAACAAUUUUUUAGCUAAUGUUCUUCUGCUUCUCUGAGAACAAUUUUGAAAGAUAACAUAACACUUAUACCCCGAAAACACAAUUAGGCAUACAUUUUCAAUUUGGGAUAAUUGAAUCUAGACGUUCUUUUUGUUUCUUUUGCCAAGUAGAUAUAGAUAUUUUUUAAUUACGCGAGGAUAAUUUGAAUCUUGCGGAUUUUGUUGAUUUCAAUUGGAACUUCAAGUUCGAUAUGAAUAUCCAGCUAUUAUUUCCAUAGAACAAAAUCAGUGUAAAGGUUUAAUGUUUUUCUGAAGUAAUCAAAUUAUACAAAAGUAUAUAUGUUGUAAAGGACAAGAUAUUAAUAUUGUAUAUUAUUAAGAAAUUGUAUUUAAGCGAUAAAAAUCAAUGGGCUACCUUUAUCACAAUAAUAACUAUAUCUCAGAGUCCCAACCCCCAAUAUUAUCAUUUUUAUAAUGGAGACAAAUUAUUGUCCCGAGAUGUGCUCAUGACCCACUGUCCACCUAGAAACAGGCUUUCGAAUGAGGUGAAUUGAUAGAGUAUAAUUUCGAGUAAGCGGUCCUAAAAAGAGAUUAUUAUUACAUAGAGUUUGGACCAUAAACUUGUAUUAUAAUAAGGAGUUUAUUCUUAUAUAGAGUAAUACUAUACAAAGGUUCCAUUGUAUAUGAUCCACAUAAGCCCACCUCCUACCACACUAAGAUUUUAGGAUUGUUGAUUGCUUAACAUGGCAUCAAAUUUCGGUCAAGAAAGUGGUCUCGGGUUCGACUCUUCUCGCCUAAUUUGUAUGAUUUAAUGUGUUGAUAAAAAAAAGUAGUUGAAGCUUAGUUAAUAACAUAUUACCUAUUUCAUUUAAUUCCAACAAAUAAUUUAUAUGCCUCAAGAUUUUUUUUACCAAUGUGGUUAUUUCCAUACAUAAGAGAUUUUUGUAAUAAGAAUAAGAUGCCAAAAUUUUACUAAAAAUACCGCUUUCUCCAAAAAAGAAUGGCAUAAUAAAAAAUAUUGAGUAUGUGUGUGCGUGCGCAAAUGAAACUUAGAUACACUCUGAUCACGUGGUCAAUUUUUCUUAAUAUCAUUUGAUGUCUACCUUAAUCAUAAUUGUUUUGUAUUUCUUUACAUUUCUCCUCACAUGCCUGAAAUAGGUUUUGUCUCUUGAAAAUGUAACAUAAAACAAAUUUUACAGGAAUAUUAAUUGAUUCUUAUUUAUAUACAAGUGUAAAUUGUUAUUAGUUAUUAGCUUAAUAAUUGCAGUUAAUGAUUAUUUGUUAUUAGUUAAUAAUCACAUAGCAAAAUAAAUUUAAAACAUGAAAUAUAAAAAGAAUAGCUCAGUUUAGUCUAUUAAAAAAAUAAAAUUUUAACCUAAACAAUACAGUGUGGUACUCCAUGUUGAUAAGCCCGGCUCAAACUAUGUUGAGGCCCUGUCCAUAUAUCAUAAAGUGAUGCCCCAGGAUAUAUUCAACUAUAAUAUGUUUUUUUUUAAAAUUACACAUUCUAAGUGUAUAUAACAGGGUGUAAUAUUUUAAUAAUACAUAAACAAUUUUUUCUAUAUAAUUCUAAACUCAUAGAAUUAAAAAACUUCAUCUUUCAAAAUUUAAUAUAGUUAAAAAAAAACACUAGAAAUGUAUUCUAGAGAUACAUAAUUCAAGAUCAAGAUUUAUUUUUAAUCUUCUAUUUGAUGUUAAGUUUUGUUAUAAUGAUUAUUAUUCAAUUAUUGUGAUUUUGUGUUUGUGAUUAUCAUUAUUAUACUAUAAAAGUUGAAAAUUACAUGUAUUAUGUUUAAAAGUUAAUGAACAAUCAUUGUUGAUGGAAAAUAAUGAAAAAUAACAUCAACAAUACUUAAACUUAUGAUAACAGAGCAAAAUAAUCACAGAGCAAAAUAAAUUUAAAACCAUCUAAAAAUAAAAUUUUAACCUAGAUCAACUCUAUAUACAGUUAUUACCAGUUAAGAUAUGGAUACAUUAGAUAUAGAAUAUUACUACUUAAAGUUAUCAAGAAAAGAAACAUUACUUGCACAAGUUUUGAUCUUUAUAACUUUUUCUUAUCAAGGUUAAAUAAUGAAUACAUUGUAUAGAAUUAGAAGUUUCGAUCUUGUAUACUUUAUCUUGAAGUCUACUUUUAUAUGAGCUCAACCAUAUAUUCUAAAUGGAAAUAAUUAGAAGAUCCAUACUUUAUCAAUCCUUUCCAAAUCCAUUAGUCUUUAGAGUCUAUUCAUUACUUUACGUCUUCAACUCAACUCAGUACUUCAUUAUUAGUAUAGAAGUCCUUGCUAUUUAAACGCGUUAGGCCCAGAGUAUUAAUCCUAUUAUUUGACCCAACAUAUGUACUAUAGACGAUGGAAAAAAUCCAGUUAGGCUAUAACUAUAAAGUAUAAAUUGUGGUAUCUAUUUUUUUAAUCAAAAUUAGAAAGAGCGUGCAUAAUAUAUGUAAUAUAGUCAUCCUACAAAAAAUAAUGAAAUAAACCAAUUAUGUUAUGCAGAAGGUGUGAAACAAAAACAAAAUUUACAGUAAUUAUUUUAGUACAUCGAAAUGACGCUGAAGAUGUGAAACACAAAUAAAAUUAACGGUAAUUAUUUUAGUACAUCUAAAUGACGUACCGUCCAAGGCCAGCAGUUCCCACUGAGUAUAGGAGUCUGAAUAACCUGCACAGUGUUAACCUCCAUUUCAUGAAACCCAACAUUACUACUAAUCAUUAGAUACAAUAAGACCUGUAACUGCAUUUGUAAUUGGUAGACAAUUUCCCCUUUUUUGGAGCAUCACCAGUAAUCCUUACAUGAGCAUGUCCCUGCAACAAAAUGAUGAAACCGAUUCCGGUCCCUAAUGAUGAUCUUCCUAUUAUAAACUAUGGAGAUUAUUUUUAUGGCUGAAUGGCAGUCAUCACAAACACGGAGAUUCUUAACAAUUCGAAUUGAGACUCCUGGAGCUGUAUUAAGAAUACCAAAAGCUAUUGCAAGCUUUUCGCUGUGACGAACAAGCAAUGUCUCUUUCUCUUUAUCAUUAAUAUCUUGCAGAACAGAGGUUGUUAAAGGUACAUAGCCUGCUUCUUUCAAUCUAUUCAUAAUCUCAGAUAACAUCUUAUAGAUUUCAACAGAUUGCAAGUGUGAUUCAUCACCAGAAAUAAAUUCAUGGACUUCGUUCCCAAUUUCAAUUGAACUGCUCCCUGGGAUCCUCUGGAUUUUGUUGUUUUUCAUAAUCCUUCUCACAUUGACAACCUUGUCCCACUGUUUGGCUUGAGAAUAUAUAUUUGACAACAGAACAUAAUUCCUGUCAACAUUGGGUUCUAGUGCUACAAGUUUUAUUAUAGCUUCUUCUGCCAGUUCUACAUUCCUAUAAAUUUUACACGCUCCAAGAAGGGCUCUCAAAAUUACUGCAUCCGGUUCGAAAGGCAUGCUUCUAAUAAGUUCUCUAGCUUCCUGAAGUCUCCCUGAUCGGCCCAGAAUGUCAACCAUGUUUCCAUAGUGUUCAAUUUUGGGAGGAAUACAAUAGAUAUCACUCAUAGCAUUAAAAUAUGUCCACCCCUUGUCAAAUAAGCCAAUGUGACUACAUGCUGUCAGCACACCUAUGAAGGUGAUAUCAUUGGGUUUAGUUCCUUCAGAUAUCAUUUUAGAAAAAAGAUCAAGUGCAGCCUCACCGUACCCAUGGUUAGCAAGCCCCAUUAUCAUUGCACUCCAGGCAAAAACAUCCUUCUUACUCAUCUGCUUAAAACAACCCACUGCAUUGUCUAUAUCCCCACACUUUGCAUACAUGUCAACAAGAGAUGUACCGAGCCUUAUACCUAUUUCGAUACAACUUCUUUUAAUGUACUCAUGGAUCAUCUUUCCCAUACCUAAAGCACCUAUAUCUCCACAUGCACACAACACACUAACCAUUGUGAUCUGAUCAGGCACUACAUUCGAUAACUGCAUUUCAUGAAAAAGUUUCAAAGCAUUACUAGAGCACCUGGAUUUUGCGCAGGUUGGGAACAUGGAGCUCCAAGAAACAAAAUCCUUUCUAGCACUUGUAUCAAACAAAUCUUGGGCAGAUUCAAUAUCACCAAUCGAAGCAUAGCCAUGAAUCAUAGUAUUCCAAGAAACUAAGUCUCUAUCAGAAAUCUUAUCAAAAAACUCUUCAGCCAAUCCCAUCUCCCUAACUCUAACAUAUUCUCCCAACAUAACAUUACAAGAAAUACAAUCCGGAUCCUUAAUUUCAUCAAACACUUUCCUCGAAACAUCCACCAAACCAAAUCUCCCAUACAUUUCAAUCAACGCCGUCUGAACAAACAAAUCAGACCCAAAACCAUGUUUCAAACAAUAAGCAUGUAAAGAUUCCCCAUUCUCACUAUCAACCAAUCUCCCACACGACUGAAGAACCACCGAUAAGCUAAAACUAUCAAUACAAAUCCCAUCAAAACGACACAUUCGCAUAAAAAGUGACAGACUCUCUUCAGGGUUGUUUGAUUUUAGGUAACCUCUAAUCAUAGUAUUAAACAUGAAAGUAUCUGGUUGAGGAAUUGUGUCAAACAGAUUGCGGGCAUACGAGAUAUCAUCAGCGAUCGGUGUCAAUAUCUUACCUAAUAGCUUGGUUAGGACAACAACGUUGAUGUCUAAAGCGGUUUUGAGAAUUAAAGCAUGGAUUUGGAGAAGAUGGUUGAGGUUAGUUGAGUGUUGUAUAAGGGACAUUACAUUGUGUUUGAUGGUUUUAUAGGUUGGUCUCAUGUUUGAAUGUAACUGUAUUAACUACUUUUCGCGGUAUACUUACACUUGUACGUACCACCAUGAGCUGGACAGUUCUAAAAAUCGUCCAUUUGAUCAAUUAAUCACCCGAUUUAUUUACAAGAUAUUUUUAUUGAUUCAGUCUUUUAAAUAUGAUUAAAAAUAAUAUAUAUUUGUAGAACUAGUAUAAUUGGUAAAAUAAAUAUUAUGUCUUUUUGUAAUUGAACAUUUUUUGAAAAAAAAUGUUUCAUAAACAGUAACAUAUAAUUGUUAGAUUAACACUUGAUAAAAGCUAUUGAAUCAGUUCAAUAAUUUUGAUAACAAGUUAUUAAAUGAGACCAGAUUAAUAAUUUUAAUGAUGUGUAAGAUCUCAGUAUGAUUUUAUGGUAAUACUAUAUGGGGUUUUAAAUCAAAUAUAUGAACUGACUCUAACAAUUCCUAAUGGUCACCUACACAAUUACACCCUAAAAUUAAGGCUGAAACACACAAUAGCCAUUCAAGUUUACACCAAUAUGCAUGUCAACCCUCAAAGUUCAAAAAUGUUCGGUCCAGCCACCAAAGUUACAAGAAUGUAACUACUAGCCACAUGAGACAGAGAGUGCAUGGCACACUCCCUGCCUGAGACUUGAGAGUACACUGACAUAUACUCCCACACUAUGCAUGUCCUUUUACUCCUCCAUCUCAGUUAUUAUUUCAGUUCUAUUAGUUAAAAUUAUGUUAGUCCGAGUUUGAGAAAAUACAUUUUUUCGCCAACCAACUCAUUGUUUGUUUAGAAAUUUGCCACCGAACUAUAAUUUUUUUCCUUUUUGUCACUAAUGUUAGGUUCGGAUUUUUUGAACUAUAAUUUUUUUCCUUUUUGUCACUAAUGUUAGGUUCGGAUUUUUUUUAGUCACUAAGCCUAGGCUCAGAUUUGAUUACUAACAUUAUGUUAAUUUUUUAGUAUUAUUAAACUAUAGUGAUAGUCUGCAAUAUAUUAUGAAGAUCUGAUAUAUGUCUAUAUCUUUGUAUGUAGCACUUACGCAUGUCCCCUAGAUAGUUCACCUUGUAGGACGAGAGUUUGACAUAUAUUUUAAGGCUCCUACAAAAUUUAGUUUCAUGAAUUAUUUUAAUUUUUUUUCUAAGUAAAAGUUAUGAUUGUCUAUUGUUUAUAUUAUAUAUAGUUUCAUAAAAAUCAAGGUUAGAUAUCAUCUACAAUUAUUUAUACCAUUGUACAAAAAUAAGGACGAAUAUCAUAAAAAAAGUAAACGAUAUACAAUUAAUCUUUAUUUUACCCCUCAUUUAUGUUAUUAUUAGAGCAACCCCAAUGCAAGUUCUCCUUACUCAUAUUUGGUCUAGGUGGACAAGAUUUAGGGGUUAGGAUCAAAAAUCAAUCCUCCAACGCAGCUUCCCAUCCCAUAAAAAUUUUAGGGGAGAGAAAACUCAUCCCCUUAUUUGAGAGAGCAAAAAGCCAACCCCUUGUUAAAAUAAUUUAUGAAACUUAAUCGUUUAGGAGCCUUAAAAUAUGUGUCAAAUUUUCGUCCUCCAAGGUAAACUAGCAGGGGCACAUAUGGAGUACUACAUAUAAAGAUAUAAACACAUAUCAGAUCACCGUAAUAUUGCGGACUACCAUUAUGUUUCAAUAAUGCUAAAAAGAAUAAUAUAAUGUUAAUAAUCAAAUCCGAACCUAACGUUAUUGACAAAAAAAAAUCCGAACCUAACAUUAGUGACAAAAAGGAAAAAAAUUAUAGUUCAGUGACAAAUUUCUUAACAAACAAUAAGUUGGGUGGCGAAAAAAUCUACCGUCCGAGGUUUCUAACCUGCUUUGAUUAGCAGUGUCCGUGUAUGACUAGAAGAUGGCCGGGGCAGCUGUGUUUCUCAGUCGAUUAUUCUUAUUAAUAUAUUAAUAUAUUAUUAUUAAUAAAGUUACAUAUCAUUCGAAUUUGUGUGUAGAUAUUUAGUUUUUAUUUUGCAAAAUCGAGCAGCAUAUAUCUUCAGUACAUUAAAAUAAAAAGCAUCAAGUUUGGUCCUAAGAUAAUAUCGUAACAUUCUAUUUAUAAGUUAUUUUUUUAAUUAAAGUUAAUCAUUAUUAUAAUUUAUAAUAAACCAAAAAUAUAUUUAAUUUAACACACUCGAUGAUUUUAUUUUAAAUAAAACACGUUUAUUUUAUAAUUAUAAAAUCAAACACAUUUACUUUUUAGUUAUAAAAUCUUUUUGUUAAAAAAUAUAUAUUAUUCUUGAAUAACCUUUUCAUUAAAAAAAAUAUAUUAAAAUUAUUUUAAUAAAUAUUAUAAAUCACAUAAAAGUAUAACACGGAUUAUGAACUAAAAUAUUAUAUGAGAAAGAUAUUUAUAGUCUAGGCAGACCCGUCUCGAUCAAAGAAAGAGGUCAUGUUUAAAUUUAAAUAUGGGCACUUUUAUUAAUAAGAUACAUACCACAUAAAUAUGUUUUAUUUUAAAUUAAAUUAGAACUUGAAACAAAAACCUUUAACAAUACAUGUACAUCGUCGAGCCUUAUUUAAAUUUUUUGUUAAAUAUAUUAAUUUAUUUAAUACAAAAAAUAAAUUAUUAUUACUAUAAUAUAUAAUUUGUGAUAAGAAAUAAAAAUUAUAUAUUAAUUAUUUUACUAAAAUUAAUUAACAAUUUAAUACAAGAAGCUCAAAAAAUAAUUCAAUAAAUAACACAUAAAUUUAAAAUAAAAUACUAACAUAAAAAUAUACCAAAAAUAUACCAAAAGCGCUAAAAAAAAACUUUAUUAAUUAAUAAUACUAGGUGCAUUUAUUUUAAAAAGAACAAUGGGUGUUGCUGCAUAGUACUAUGGAGGCCAUAACGGUGAAAGGAAAAGGGAAAGGUACAUGCAUCUGUGCAGAGUGUAUGUCAGACAGUAAGACUACUCUCAGGCAGGGAGUUUGCCAUGCACUCUCUGUCUCAUGUGGCUAGCAGUUACAUUCUUGUAACUUCGGUGGCUGGACCGAACAUUUUUGAACUUUGAGGGUUGACAUGCAUAUUGGUGUAAACUUGAAUGGCUGUUGUGCGUUUUAACCUAAAAUUAAAAGUGAGAAAAAUCUUGAAUUCAAACCGAAAUCGAACUCAGAAAUAAAAAAAAAAAAACCUGACAAAAAUCGAACUGCAUAAAAUCGAGCCGAGCCGAAACUAAAAAUUUUAAAACCGAACCGAAUCUAACGGAUGAUGUUCCAGUUUUAAGUGAAAACCGAGCCAAAUAAAAUCUAACCAAACCGAUUAUAUAAAUAAAUAUUAUUAAAUAUUAUUUAUUUAUAUAAUAUAAUUUUAUAAGAUAAAUAUAUAAACCAAAUUAAUGUCAUAGUGUAUUAUGGGUUAUCAAUAUGUUAAUCGUAUGUCGCGGAGUAGUGUAACAGUAGCUAGUGGGGAAGUGAGUAUAAACCUCAUAAGUUUAAACAUAUAAGUAUGAUUGUUAUAUUCUGAGUGAAUAAGCACAAACAUAUGAGUCACAAGCAUGAUAUUAUUAAGUUACUUUAUAUGAUUAGGUUUUUGUUUAUAUUUUCGUUUUGUUGGAUACAAUUAAACAUACCUAAAUAGUUCUUUAUUCGAGCAAUUGUCUAAAUUUAAAUUUAAAAUUUCUCAUUAACAUUAAUCAAGUUAACCAAUUUAUUUAUCAAACUGGAAGUAUGUUUCUUGAUUUUAUUUUUUGCGGUUUAAAACUGAAAACGAACUGACCGAACCGGAGUUUUAAAACCGAAAUCGAAAAUGACAGUUCAAUUACGGUUGCGGUUUCAACUUUUAAAACCGAGGACUUUCGGUUUCGGUUUUACCCAAACCGAACCGAACUGAGGUUUGCUCUUCCCUAGUUAAAACAACUUUAUUCAAUUUUUUGAAUAAUACUAGCUCAUCAUUGAAAAUAUCUUACAAAAUCUCUUUUCAAUGUUAUUAAUGAAUUCUCAUGAAAUUAUUAAAUAUCUAAUUUAAGAAAAAGGAGGAAAUUGAAGAUAUUAACAUGAUUAUAACUACAUGAACACAACUUCAUUAAAUAAAAAAUAGCAAUAACCUUCCACGUCACUAUCAUGACGGAUCUUUCUUGAACCAUCGAGUCGUCAAUAAUAACAUAGCAAUAGGUUACAAGAAGUGCAUGCCUUAAACUCUUAAGAUGACUUCGACUCAUCAACAAUAACAUAGCAAUAGAUUAUAAGAAGAGGAUGCCUUGGACUCUUAAGAUGACUUUUAAUUUUGGUCUGAGUUUAUGAUAAGAGUUUGGGAUAUGUAGACCCCGAGCUUAAAUGGAUGACGGACCUAUAAAUAGUAAUCCCCCAACUGGUUUAAAAAGACCACAAACGCAAACCAAGAACAGCUUAAAAAAGUCCAUAGACGGGCUUGCAGAAUACAUGAUCCAAAUAAAAGUAUAUAUAAUUCAAAUAUGAAAAACAGGUCAACUUAUCAUAAAUCUCAAAUUUUGAUGAUCACAUUUUAGCAAACUGUCUCUAUAUAUCAGCUUAAUAUUAUUGUCUAAUUGUUAUAAUAAUGUGUUGUAUUUCAGAAUCUAAUCAAGUUUUGUAGGGUAUUAAAGUAUCAGAAUAAUAGCAAGCUUCUAUUUAAAAAACAAAUGCUACGACAGAGAACAGAAUUCUACGUAGAAUUAUAUUCAUUCUACGUAGAAUUCUACGUAGAGAACACAAUCUGAGCACAUAUGGAACUCAUAAUGAGAGGCUUUGAUAUGUACUAGAAAAACUGGUUCACAAACAAUAAAGUAUACCAAGAACCCACAUUCUGAACGUAAGCACAGGCAUGUUCGGAUCAUCAGUUUGCGUAACUAGUACAUUAGCAAAGGCGUCCUUUUCUAAUAUCUCAGAUAUGCAUAUAAAAGAGUAUACAUGUAUAAUAAAGAUACUAAACAAACUCAUCAACUAAAUAUUAGUGACCACAAAAACAAAUAAUUACACAACCACGUAAAAAAAGAGGAAACCAAAGAAAUAUUUGGAAGAGUCAUUUCAAAGCUUUCUAACAAUUACAAAACUAAUCUUUAAAAUCUGUGAUGCAAAAAGCCUGGAUGAUGACCUUCCGACAGAGAUAGCUCACGUUGCCUCUCAUCAUUCAUGUUGAUGACAAUGUUAUGCAAGAUGCAGCAGGCCUUGGUCAUACAUCGAAGCGUUUCAGGUUUCAUUACAGUUGUAAGAACCUUCCAUUCUUUCUUUAGCCUAUUAAAUGUCUCAGCACUCAUUCCCUCUUCAGGGGCAGAAGCAGGCCCACGGAGGUGGCGAUGGCCAUUUUCUGCCAAGACCUCCACAAAGGACCAUGUGACCUUAGCAGCGGUAAAUGAGUGCGUCCCAAUUUCACCACCAAUUGAAUUCAGCAACUUGCCCAAUUUUAGGCUUCUCAUAGCUAUGGCUACUUUAUCAACCACAGUUAAUUCCCUGUUAUCGUUAAAUUUAAAUAUUUGUGAAUUUGACAUAGGCUCCAUCACAAGAGAGCAUAAGUAUCUGAAGGUUCUCAUUGAGAUCCCGCAGUAUACUUCGACUCUGGUUGAGUCUUCCACGAGAGGAAAAUGUCCUGCAAAGAAGAGAAGAAAAUGCAUUUUUAUACAUACGACUAAGACACUGCCAUAAUGUGUUUAUCAGGCUUAAAACUUGAACAUAUUAGAUUAAUGCAUAACACCAUACUAUUCCAUUCAUUUCAGUAUACACUAUACAUACACACAUCGACCUGUAAACUGUAUAAACAAAAUGAAGCUAGAAUGUCAAAAAUGUAAAUCAGUAAACUGCUUGUGAUUAACACACAGGGAUAUAUCGCUUUCAGUAAGGUUCCAAUCUGCAAAGAAUGCUACAGCUUUCAUAUCAAAUCAGAAUCAAUAUGAACUGAUUAUAAGUGGAUACUUUCGGUAUUCAUAGCAAGUUACAAGCUCCCAGGAAAACAUUAUAUCUACCAUAAUAUAGCUGUUUGACUAAACAAACCCUUACAAGAACUAAGUAAAUAACAACAUAUUCGAAAACAACAGAUUAGAUAUUGUUCCAAAGACUAAAACAACUGGAAGCAGUUUGACCUUAAUUACUAGUUUGACCUUGUGGAACUGGAAAUAGAAGUAUUUUGAAUAGCGACUUGCCUAAAAUCAAUCCCUUGCUACUUUGGAAAAAAAGCUAGUCCUGAAUUCUCACUGGUGACUUAUAGAUCAUAUAAUCAGAAGAUGAUUAUACUCGGUAUAGUUUGGAUUUACCUCAUAUUUUCUUCUAUGUAUGCACCAAUGUCAAAAUCUGAAAUGCUUUCUUUCCCAUAUUAUAGAGUAUAAACAAAGAAACUAAAAUAUCCACAACUACAUACAAAUCACAUCACCUUCCUCAACUCCUUGCAAAUCUCAUGACUCUAAUCCCAUCAGCAAAAUUUAUAUACACAUUACAUAACUCCCAGAAUUAAAAUUUAAAUGUUUAUAUCUUCAUUGUACUAAGCGACAAUUAAAUUCUAGGUCAAAUAAGACUCCGAACUACAGACUGAGGAUUUAUUCAUUCUCUAUCUGAAGUGAUUUUCAAUAAAUCAAAAGACAAAUCAACUGGUCACAAAUUAGAAUUCAUCAAACGCAGAUGAACAAGCAAACAAAAAAUAAAUUCGGGAAAAAAAGGUAGUACAUACCAAACCAUAACGAAAUCAACAAGAACAAUUCAUCACCACCAAAUGAGAACUUAAGAAUUUGAAGAUUUACAUACCAGCAAUCCUCUUCACGAAUUCGGCAAACCAUAUAACGUAAUUUAAAGGGAAUUUGCCACAAUUAGCUUCACUUCUUUCCAUUCUUUUGUGGUUUGAGGAAUGGAGAUUGAUUUUCCUUGCCACCGUACAAUAACUCUAAAGUUUGCGACUUUAAAGUUUGUUGGAACACAAAAGUAUAUAAAGAGUGAGAUGGAUGGGUCUGGGAUGACGUCAACGUGUUGAUGGAGGUUAAAAGAAAUAGAAUAGUAUAAGGAGUAUGUUUGUGAAUACUGGGGGUCGGCUUCAUAUAUACAAAUUUAUCCUAAGGAAAUUGUAAUUGGGCAUAAAAUAAAUUUUAUUUCAAAGUUGUAGCUCAUAUAUGAAGUAAAAUAAAGUAAUUAAAAUAUACUCACUCCAUCCCAUAAANNNNNNNNNNNNNNNNNNNNNNNNNNNNNNNNNNNNNNNNNNNNNNNNNNNNNNNNNNNNNNNNNNNNNNNNNNNNNNNNNNNNNNNNNNNNNNNNNNNNNNNNNNNNNNNNNNNNNNNNNNNNNNNNNNNNNNNNNNNNNNNNNNNNNNNNNNNNNNNNNNNNNNNNNNNNNNNNNNNNNNNNNNNNNNNNNNNNNNNNNNNNNNNNNNNNNNNNNNNNNNNNNNNNNNNNNNNNNNNNNNNNNNNNNNNNNNNNNNNNNNNNNNNNNNNNNNNNNNNNNNNNNNNNNNNNNNNNNNNNNNNNNNNNNNNNNNNNNNNNNNNNNNNNNNNNNNNNNNNNNNNNNNNNNNNNNNNNNNNNNNNNNNNNNNNNNNNNNNNNNNNNNNNNNNNNNNNNNNNNNNNNNNNNNNNNNNNNNNNNNNNNNNNNNNNNNNNNNNNNNNNNNNNNNNNNNNNNNNNNNNNNNNNNNNNNNNNNNNNNNNNNNNNNNNNNNNNNNNNNNNNNNNNNNNNNNNNNNNNNNNNNNNNNNNNNNNNNNNNNNNNNNNNNNNNNNNNNNNNNNNNNNNNNNNNNNNNNNNNNNNNNNNNNNNNNNNNNNNNNNNNNNNNNNNNNNNNNNNNNNNNNNNNNNNNNNNNNNNNNNNNNNNNNNNNNNNNNNNNNNNNNNNNNNNNNNNNNNNNNNNNNNNNNNNNNNNNNNNNNNNNNNNNNNNNNNNNNNNNNNNNNNNNNNNNNNNNNNNNNNNNNNNNNNNNNNNNNNNNNNNNNNNNNNNNNNNNNNNNNNNNNNNNNNNNNNNNNNNNNNNNNNNNNNNNNNNNNNNNNNNNNNNNNNNNNNNNNNNNNNNNNNNNNNNNNNNNNNNNNNNNNNNNNNNNNNNNNNNNNNNNNNNNNNNNNNNNNNNNNNNNNNNNNNNNNNNNNNNNNNNNNNNNNNNNNNNNNNNNNNNNNNNNNNNNNNNNNNNNNNNNNNNNNNNNNNNNNNNNNNNNNNNNNNNNNNNNNNNNNNNNNNNNNNNNNNNNNNNNNNNNNNNNNNNNNNNNNNNNNNNNNNNNNNNNNNNNNNNNNNNNNNNNNNNNNNNNNNNNNNNNNNNNNNNNNNNNNNNNNNNNNNNNNNNNNNNNNNNNNNNNNNNNNNNNNNNNNNNNNNNNNNNNNNNNNNNNNNNNNNNNNNNNNNNNNNNCACUAUACAUACACACAUCGACCUGUAAACUGUAUAAACAAAAUGAAGCUAGAAUGUCAAAAAUGUAAAUCAGUAAACUGCUUGUGAUUAACACACAGGGAUAUAUCGCUUUCAGUAAGGUUCCAAUCUGCAAAGAAUGCUACAGCUUUCAUAUCAAAUCAGAAUCAAUAUGAACUGAUUAUAAGUGGAUACUUUCGGUAUUCAUAGCAAGUUACAAGCUCCCAGGAAAACAUUAUAUCUACCAUAAUAUAGCUGUUUGACUAAACAAACCCUUACAAGAACUAAGUAAAUAACAACAUAUUCGAAAACAACAGAUUAGAUAUUGUUCCAAAGACUAAGACAACUGGAAGCAGUUUGACCUUAAUUACUAGUUUGACCUUGUGGAACUGGAAAUAGAAGUAUUUUGAAUAGCGACUUGCCUAAAAUCAAUCCCUUGCUACUUUGGAAAAAAAGCUAGUCCUGAAUUCUCACUGGUGACUUAUAGAUCAUAUAAUCAGAAGAUGAUUAUACUCGGUAUAGUUUGGAUUUACCUCAUAUUUUCUUCUAUGUAUGCACCAAUGUCAAAAUCUGAAAUGCUUUCUUUCCCAUAUUAUAGAGUAUAAACAAAGAAACUAAAAUAUCCACAACUACAUACAAAUCACAUCACCUUCCUCAACUCCUUGCAAAUCUCAUGACUCUAAUCCCAUCAGCAAAAUUUAUAUACACAUUACAUAACUCCCAGAAUUAAAAUUUAAAUGUUUAUAUCUUCAUUGUACUAAGCGACAAUUAAAUUCUAGGUCAAAUAAGACUCCGAACUACAGACUGAGGAUUUAUUCAUUCUCUAUCUGAAGUGAUUUUCAAUAAAUCAAAAGACAAAUCAACUGGUCACAAAUUAGAAUUCAUCAAACGCAGAUGAACAAGCAAACAAAAAAUAAAUUCGGGAAAAAAAGGUAGUACAUACCAAACCAUAACGAAAUCAACAAGAACAAUUCAUCACCACCAAAUGAGAACUUAAGAAUUUGAAGAUUUACAUACCAGCAAUCCUCUUCACGAAUUCGGCAAACCAUAUAACGUAAUUUAAAGGGAAUUUGCCACAAUUAGCUUCACUUCUUUCCAUUCUUUUGUGGUUUGAGGAAUGGAGAUUGAUUUUCCUUGCCACCGUACAAUAACUCUAAAGUUUGCGACUUUAAAGUUUGUUGGAACACAAAAGUAUAUAAAGAGUGAGAUGGAUGGGUCUGGGAUGACGUCAACGUGUUGAUGGAGGUUAAAAGAAAUAGAAUAGUAUAAGGAGUAUGUUUGUGAAUACUGGGGGUCGGCUUCAUAUAUACAAAUUUAUCCUAAGGAAAUUGUAAUUGGGCAUAAAAUAAAUUUUAUUUCAAAGUUGUAGCUCAUAUAUGAAGUAAAAUAAAGUAAUUAAAAUAUACUCACUCCAUCCCAUAAAACAUGAGGUAAUCAAUUUUACGCACAUUUAAGAAAUUUGAGUAUGACUAUUUGAUAUGCAUUUGCAUUCACAAAAAAAUGAGUUAGUGGAUGAUGACUAAGCAUUUACCUGAACAUGUACUUAUAACUGCUUAGUCAUCAUCCACUAACUCAUCUUUUUGUGAAUGCAAAUACAUAUCAAAUAGUGAUACUCAAAGUUCUUAAAUGUGUGUAAAAUUGAUUAGCCCAUGCUUUAUAUAUGAGCUACAACUUUAAAAUAACAUUUAUUUUAUACUCAAUUACAAUUUCCUAAGGAUAAAUUUGUAUAUAUGAAGCCCACCCCCAGUAUUCACAAACAUACUCCUACUUUUACUAUUCUAUUUUCUUUAACCUCCGUCAACACGUUGAUGUUACCCCAAAUCCAUCCAUCUCACUCUUUAUAUACUUUUGUGUUCCAACAAACUUUAAAGUCGCAAACUUUAGAGUUAUUAUACGGUGGUAAGGAAAAUUAAUCUCUAUUCUUCAAACCACUUUCUUUUUAUAUCCUUUUGAUUUUAAGUUUUUAAUAACUUUACUUUAAGAGAGUGGAAAGAAGUGAAACCGAUUGUGGCAAAUUCCCUCUGAAUUAUGUUAUUUGGUUUGCCGAAUUCGUGAAGAGGAUUGUUGGUAUGUAAAUCUUCCAAUUUUCAUGUAUACUAAGUUGUUCUCAUUAAGUGGUGAUAAAUUGUUCUUGUCGAUUUCGUUAUGGUUUAGUAUGUAUUACCUUUUCUUUUUCGAAGUCAUUUUAUCUUCGCUUGUUCAUCUGUGUUUAAUGAAAUUUUAAUUUGUGACUAGUUGAUUUGUCUUUUGAUUUAUCGAAAAUUACUUUAAAUAGAAAAUGAAUAAAUCCUCAAUCUGUGGUUCGGAGUCUUAUUUGGCCUAAAAUUUAAUUGUCGUUUAGUACAAUGAAGAUAUGAACAUUUAAAUUUUAAUUAUGGGAGUCAUGUAAUGUAUUUAAAUUGUGCUGAUGGGAUUAGAGUCCUAAGAUUUGCAAGGAUUUAAGAAAGUUGAUGUGAUUCCUAUGUAGUUCUUGUGAAUAUCUUAGUUUCUUUGAUUAUACUCUUUAAUAUUGGGGAAAAAAGCAGUUCAAAUAUUGGCAUUGAGGCAUAAAUAGAAAAAAAAUGAGUUUAAUCCAAACUAUAGUGAGUAUAAUCAUCUUCUGAUUAUAUGAUUUGUAAAUCACCAGUUAUGAUUACUACUCGGUAUAUUUUGGAUUUACCUCAUAUUUUCUUCUAUGCAUGCCCACGAACUACUUAAAUCAUUCCCCGUCUACACUCAUCUUUAGUAAAUCAAAAUACAAACCAACUAGUUCCGAAUUAUAAUUUCAUCAAACACAGAUGAACAAGCAAACAUAAAAUUACUUUGCAAAAACAACAGGUAGCACAUACCAAACCAUAACGAAAUCGACAAGAACAGUUCAGCACCACCAAAUCAGAACUUAAUAUACAUGAGAAUUUGAAGAUUUACAUACCAGCAAUCCUCUUCACGUAUUGGGCAUACCAAAUAAUGUAAUUCACAUCAGGGAAUUCUCCAAUAUUUGCUUCACUGCUUUCUCUCUUAAAGCAAAGUUCUUAAAAACUUCAAAUUAGAAAGAGAUAAAAAGAAAGUGGUUCGAGGAAUGAAGAUUGUUUUUCCUUACCACUGGACAAUAACUCUAAAGUUUGCGACUUUAAAGUUUGUUGGAACAAAAGUAUAUAAAAUGUAUAUGUGUUCUAAAGCAAGAACUUAGAGAAUUUCAGACAAUGAUACAAAAGUUCUGCUUUUCUUGCUGAGGCUUCAACUUUGUUUACAUAAUAAUUACAUAAGUGAAUAUAUAAAUUUCUCCAUCCAUCACCUAGUACUCCAUGAGUUUCUGUAAAUGCUUUGCCGAUUCACAUCUGGGGUUUAGAAUUACGAGUCCAGAGUAUCUCCCGUACAUUUCAAUCAACGCCGUAUGAACAAACAAAUCAGACCCAAAUCCUCUAAUCAUCAGUAUCUAUAGUAUCUGGUUGGGGACUUGUGUCAAACAGGUGGCGGGCAUACGAGAUCUCAUCAGUGACCCGUGAGAUCUCAUCAGGUAGCUGGGUUAGGGUAACAUCUAAAGUGGUUUAGAGGAUAAGCAGAGAUUUGGAGAAGAUGAUUGCGGUUAGAUGAGUGUUCUCAGGGUUGAAUGUAUCGGCGUUCUUCACGAAGAUCCCGUUUAAUAUUUGAAACAUAUUUUCGUUAUUUGGGGUUAACAUUCUGAUUUUUUAUUUUUUUUUAAAUCAAUGAUCUAUUGAAAAAAUUCUCAUAAACUGAGGUGUAUUCUAUCGUAUUUUAAUGGACUGAUUUUAAAGGAUUGUAUGUAAUUUUGAUUUACGCGAAUUUUUGAAAAAAUGCUGAUAUAUUUUUUUUAAGAUUUAAGUAUAAUAUUUCAAAUUUUAAUGGAUUUUGGUGGUAUUUCAAAAUAAUUAAAAUUCACUCAAAAAUCUCACAAAAUAUAUAAUUUUAUGAAAUUCAUAAAAAUCCAAUAGCAUUUGUAUAUCAUUUGAAUUUUAAACAAUCCAAAUUAAAUGAAAAAAGGCCAUAACUGAAUUUUUGAGUUUAAUGCCAUGUAUAACAAAAUUUGAAAAAGUGGCCCCAAUUGACAUGUGAAGACAUUUUUAAAGGGAUAUGGCGAAAUUCACCUGCUGAUUCUUACAGACAUUAAAACAAUGAAAUUCACUUGCUGAUUCUUACAGACAUUAAAACAAUGAAAUUGUACUAUUAGUAAAGCACAUCAACUCAAGUUCAUUCUUACUUAAAACAGAAAAUGUUAUGGUAAUCUUCACUCCCAUCACUCCCAUCAUACUUUUUGAAAGGGCAAGGAGUCUGAGAUAACUUGAUGAGCACAGAGAGAGAUAGCUUUUUUCCCCCUUCUACUGAACUGAAGUUUUGGUUAUCAAUACACACACCUUUCUUAUGUAUACAAAAACUUGUUUUCCCAUAAUUUGUAAAACAAAAACGGGGUUAGGGUUUAUAAGUAGAAAUUGGGGUUUUUAAUUUGUAAAUUAAUUGUGGUUGAUUGGCUGUGUGUGAAAGGAAAGGGCAUGAAAAUGUGGGGAGGAGGCCGGAGUCUCGCGUCGGCGACGGAGACUCACGGCGGCAGAAGGGGAGACAGAUAGGCGGCCGUGGUGAGCUUGGUGCGGGGAGGAGAUUGAGGAGGUGAGGUGUGUGUACAGGAUAGAGAGAGCAACGAGGGAGGUCGCCGGAAAUUUCUCCGGCCAGGCCAGUGAGGGAGAUGAGGGAGAGAGGAGAGAUGGAGGAAGGAGUUUUUUUAUAUCAUCCUUUUAACUUUAGUUCCAUUUUAAUUUCAUUUUUCUUUUUUUAAUGUAGGUACAAAUCAGCUGGUGAUGUGUCGCCAUGUCAGCAUGAUUCAGCGGGUGAUGUGUCACCACAUCAACAAGAUUCUAACUCUGUUAGUAUCUACUUAACGGAAGGACUAGAUUCCAGCGUUUGGAAAAGUUUAAUGACCCUGUUUGAGGAAUCUUUUGCUUAGGGACCUAUCGAAUAAAAGUGGAUUAGUUUAGGGACGUAUGAAUAUAUUAUCCCCAUUUUUAAAAUAGCGUUUUAAGUAAAGGGUAAACGCUAUUGCGUGUGUUUACGGCUUUUUUCUUUUCUUCUUUUAUUAAACAAAAAAUAAAUAAUACAAUAUAAAGGAUAAAAACACUAGACGAGUUGGCGUUUUACCGUUAUAUAUAUAAGCAUAAGACGCCUCACGAACUAAAGUAGCGUCUAUAAGUUUUAUAUAUGGGUUUUGUUCCAUAGCCCCCGUAUGCCAUAUAAGCCUUAACCAACACACAGAAUCAGAAUCGUUAGAUUCAAUUUUUUUUUUUUGCCAUCCGUUAUAAUUUUUCGCGGAUCGGACUUCUCCAUUCCGCUGAUAUAAAGAGAAUUCAAUUGUUAUAAUGGAUUAUAAUGUAAGUUUUACAUUCUUUUGAAGAAUUGCAAUUUGAUUUAUAUAUAUUUGUCUUUAUAUGGAUUUUCAAUGUAUGUGUUCUAUGUGUUUGUUAAAGUGUCUAUAAGGAUUUACAUAUGAAGCAGUGGUUAGAAAUUGCUAGUAUUAUUUCUAAUUGAGUUGUAGUCACAUAUUACCAGUUAAGUUCCAGUUAUGUAAUGCAUAUUUGGAGCUUAAUUUUAGAAUUUGAAGCUUAUCUAUUACUCCCUCCAUCCCAUUUUAUGUGACCUCAUUUCCUUUUUGAGACGUCCAAUGAAUCUACAAUACUUACUAUUUUUGAACACUAUUUUUCACUAUUACACCCACUACCUCUAUAUUUUAUACUCUCUUUUUAUUAAAUAAACACUAUUACACCCACUACUUUCCUCCACUAUCUCAAAUCUAUUAUUAAAUAUUGAUGGGUCCCAUCACUUUACUCACUUUUCAACUACAUUUACUACCUUUUUCUUAAUCUCCGUGAAAGUCAAACCAGUUCACAUAAAUUGGGACGGAGCGAGUACUUCACUAUGAGAAAUCUGCUUAGGUUAUCCAUGUGUAUGCAGAAUACGUAAGUUUAGGAGCAAUAUAAUUGGAAAUGGCACUAGUUUAGGAGCAUCUUCUAUCUGAUCAACCCUACAGAGCCCACAUAUCAGAGAAUUGAAAGUGAACAUAUCUGGUUUACAUCCUCCGUUUACCAUGUCAGCGUAUAGUUCCAGAGCCUCCUUAACCUUCUCAUCCUUAGCUAAAGCAUGUAUCAGGCAGUUGUAUCCAACAGUGUUUAAGCAAAUCCCCAAUGCUGACAUUUCACGGACAGCUUCUUCUGCUUCCUUCAAUCUGCCGACCUUGCAGAACCCAUUGAUCAAACUCGUGUAUGUUAUUAGGUUGGGCUUGCAACCCAUAAUUUCCAUCUCUUUCAUCAAAUUUCGUGCUAAUUAAGAAAAAGAUUUUCUCGAACAUAGACCACGGAUGAUUAUGUUAUAUGUAUAGAUAUCUGGAUUGCAACCAACAGCGGGCAUCCUCUGCCUCAAAACAGCAUUGGCAUCAUCAAACUGUCCAUUGACCACAUGACCAUUAAUCAAAGUAUUGAACAAAACAACAUUAGGCUCAGGCACUCUGUCCAGCAAAGCUCUAGCUUUAUCAACUUGACCAGUUCGGCAUAAUCCAUCCAUUAAAAUUCCAUAAGUAAACUUGCUAGGAGUGAAGCCUCCGAGAAGCAUUCUAUCGACCAAUUUAGCACCUUCAGGUAUCCUCUUAGCACGGCAAAGACCAUGAAUAACAUCAUUAAAAGUAUCAACAUCAGGUGUGCAACCCAUCAGAAACAUUUCCUCCAAAUAUCUUAUCACGUCAUUUAUUCUGUUCACCUUACAAAGCGCAUGUAUAAGUGUCUGGUAAAUAACUGAAUUCGGCACACACCCAUGUUUUGUCAUAUCUCUUAAAAGUGAACAUGCAGAAUCCACCUCAUUAACCAUACAAAGCGCUUUCAUCAUCACCACACCGAACGUGAAAACAGUUGGAGAAAUCCCCUUGUGCAACAUCUCAUAAAAAAUAUUCGGUGCAACAGCCGAGCAAUCCCCAGCAACCAAAAUAUCCAGAACAACAUUAUAAGACCUAAAACUAUAUUCACAACUAAAAACAUCCCUCAUAUCAAAAAGUAACCGCGUCGAUUGACCAGGUAAACCAGCUCUACCAUAAUGCCUCAUUUUAGAAAUAAAAAGUGACUCCUGAAUAAAUACCCCUUCAUCUUUCAUUCGCAGCAACAAUCCAUCAAUCAACUUAAACUCCCCGGCCGCUCCAGGUUUAUUAAUCAAAGUACAAUACACAUUGAAUGUAUGAGUAUACCCCAUUUGAGUACCCGCCUUACAGAAAAAAUCCACAGAAGUAGGGACAUCAAGGGGGAGUUGAAGCAACUUAUUAAGCUGAUACGGUGUAAGUCGAUUAAGGGACUUUCGAAGCUGUUUAAUGUCACAUGGUUCAAGCAAACUUUCCCAAUCUGUUUCAGGGAAUGACCCAUUCUUAUAAUCAGAAUUACCAACAUUUCCAUCAUCCCCAAUUGAACUACAAUAUGUAAAGAUUGGAUUUUUAUACAAAGAUUGAACCUUUUUGACAAAAUGACACCCAAGAUUCUUUUUUGAGCAUAACUCUUAUUGGGCAAUUGUAAACAAGCAAAAGCUAAGCACACAACUGAUUGGCAUUACACAUACAUAAACUUUUCAGGGUUAUAAGCAACUGUGUGUAUACAUGUAUGUAUAUGUGCAUAUAGAGUUGCAAAAUAUAUGAGAAACAGAGCAGAAUAAAGAGCUCUAACCUGGGAACAAGUGUGUGUAUUUGCUGCAAAAAGCUUCUGCACUAAUUAUUCAGUGAGCAGCGGAUCGGGUCUAAAGUCAAAUUUUCAAAUCAAUUGGGUGUUUGUAUGUGCAUAUAAUUCAGCACACAAUAAAGCUGAUCAUGGCUUAUGGACCAGAAAGCUGCUUCUUUAGCUUUUUCAAAGUAAUUUUCUUUCAACAUUGCUACACACUAUGGUUUCAGCCGCAUUGCUUGUUAAUCAAUCUCGUCGAAUUGAUCUAUAUCAUCUACCCAUAAAGUUUCAUCAUCUAAUUGAAGCGCCCAAAAGUUUCCUCAUUUCUUUCUAUCAAUAUUCCCAUGUUAUAACUAGUACAUUAGCAAAGGUGUUCUUUUCUAAUAUCACGGAUAUUCAUAUGAAAGAGUACACAUGUAAAACAAAAAUACUAAACAAACUCAUGAACUAAAUAUUAAUGACCACAAAUAAUAAUCACACAAAAUACAAAUAAAAAAGCGGAAACCAAAGAAAUAUUCAGAAGAGAUGAUUCAAAACUUUCUAACAAUUACAAAACUAAUCUUUAAAAUUUGUGAGUCAUAAAGCCUGGAUGAUGACCUUGUGACAGAGAUAGCUAACCAUGCCUCUCAUCAUUCAUCUCAAUGACAAUGUUAUGCAAGAUGCGGCAAGCUGUGCUAAUACUUUGACGCUUCUCAGCUUUCAUUACAAGUGUAAGAACCUUCCAUUCUUCCUUUAGCCGCCUAUCCAUUGUCUCAGCAGUCAUUCUUUCCUCAGUAGCAGUGGCUGUCCCAUGGAGGUGGCGAAGGCCAUUUUCUACCAAGGCCUCCACAAAGGACCUUGUAACCUUAUCAGCAGUAAAAGAGUGCGUACCAAUUUCCUUACUGAUUGAGUUCAGUGACUUGCCAAAUUUUAGCCUUCUCAACGCUAUGGCUACUUUAUCAACCACAGUCAAUUCUCUGUUAUCGUUAAAUUUGUAUGUGUGUGAAUUGGACAUUGGCUCCAUCACAAGAGAGCACAAGUAUCUGAAGGUUCUCAUUGAGAUCCCGCAGUAUUCUUCGACUCUAGUCGAGUCUUCCGAGAGAGGAAAAUGUCCUGCAAAGAAGAGAAGAAAAUGCAUUUUUAUAAAUACGACUAAGACACUGCCAUAAUGUGUUUAUCAUGCUGAAAACUUGAACAUAUUAGAUUAAUGCAUAACACCAUACUAGUCCAUUCAUUUCAGUAUACAUACACAUAUCGACCUGUAAACUGUAUAAACAAAAUGAAGCUAGAAUGUCAAAAAUGAAGAUCAGUAAACUGCUGGUGAUUAACACACAGGGAUAUAUCACAUUCAGUAAGGUUCCAAUCUGCAAAGAAUGCUACAGCUUUCAUAUCAAAUCUGAAUCAAUAUGAACUGAUUAUAGGUGGAUACUUUUAGUAUUCAUAGCUAGUUACAAGCUCCUAGGAAAACAAACCCUUACAAGAACUAAGUACAUAACAACAUAUUCGAAAACAACAGAUUACAUAUUGUUCCAAAGACUAAGACAACUGGAAGCAGUUUGACCUUAAUUACUAGUUUGACCUUGUGGAACUGGAAAUAGAAAUAUUUUGAAUGUACUUACCUAAAAUCAAUCCCUUGCUACUUUGGAAAAAAAAGCUAGUCCUGAAUUCACUGGUGAUUUAUAAUUCACAUAACCAGAAGAUGAUUAUACUCAGUAUAAUUUCGAUUUACCUCAUAUUUUCUUCUAUGUAUGCCCCAAUGCCAAAAUCUGAAUUGCUUUCUUUCCCAUAUUACAGAGUAUAAACAAAGAAACUGAAAUAUCCACAAGAACUACAUACGAAUCACAUCAACUUCCUCAACUCCUUGCAAAUCUAAGGACUCUAAUCCCAUCAAAAAAAUUUAUAUGCACAUUACAUAACUCCCAGAAUUAAAAGUUAAAUGUUUAUCAUCUUCAUUGUACUAAGCGACAAUUAAAUUCUAGGUCAAAUAAGACUCCGAACCACAGAUUGAGGAUUUAUUCCUUCUCUAUCUAAAGUAAUUUUCAAUAAAUCAAAAGAAAAAUCAACUAGUCACAAAUUAAAAUUUCAUCAAACACAGAUGAACAAGCAAACAUAAAAUUACUUCAGAAAAAAAAAGGGUAGCACAUACCAAACUAUAAUGAAAUCGACAAGAACAGUUCAUCACCACUGAAUGAGAACAACUUAAAAUCCAUGAAAUUUUAAAGAUUUACAUACCAGCAAUCCUCUUCACGAAUUCGGCAAACCAAAUAACGUAAUUCAAAGGAAAUUUGCCACAAUUAGCUUCAUUUCUUUCCAUUCUCUUGAAGCAAAGUUCUUAAAAACUUAAAAUUAAAGGAGAUAUAAAGAAAGUGGUUUGAGAUGGAGAUUGAUUUUCCUUACCACCGUACAAUAACUCUAAAGUUUGUUGGAACACAAAAGUUUAUAAAGAGUGAGAUGGAUGGGUCUUGGGUGAAGUCAGCGUGUUGAUGGAGGUUAAAAGAAAUAGAAUAGUAAGAGUAGGAGUAUGUUUGUGAAUACUGGAGGUGGGCUUCAUAUAUACAAAUUUAUCCUUAGAAAAUUGUAAUUGGGCAUAAUAUAAAUUUUAUUUCAAAGCUGUAGCUCAUAUAUAAAGUAAAAUAAAGUAACUAAAAUAUACUCACUCCAUCCCAUAAAGCAUGAGCUAAUCAAUUUUACGCGCAUUUAAGAAAUUUGAGUAUGAUUAUUUGAUAUGUAUUUGCAUUCACAAAAAGAUGAGUUAGUGGAUGAUGACUAAGCAUUUACUUGAACAUGUGGUUACAGCUAUCUUAAAACAUACUAUAUAAAGUGGUGUCACGGAAAAAAUUUUCAACAUCCCACGUCACUAAGUUAUAUCAAUGCCUUUAUCAGCACAAACUUACAACUAAUAUUGUAUCGGAAUUGAUAACUCUUUUGUAUCAACUUAUAGUUGGUUGUUGAUUGACGUAGUAUGUUUGGCUUGGACUGUAACAAAUUUUGUCUGAGGUCGACCCUGCCAAAAGUGCCUUAAAAGGAUUUCUUCAGUUUUUGGGCUCGACGAGGACGUUAAACUUAUAUAAUGUGGAAAAACUGUAACAUUUCAUAGUAUGUAAGUGUGGACGCAUUUAUAAAUGUUGUAGAAAAGUCGUUAGCUCUUUUGGUUUGGUCUAUGGUGAGUUGUUGAACCAUCUCCUUCACUUUGGCUUGGGGUGUUACACAUUGAAUGCAGUAUAGAAUUUUGUUAUAAUUAUAAGUAUGUAUUUCUUUAUAUAUAUUCAAGUUGAUUGAAAAAUUAUUUAAAUUAAAUGGUACGAUGUAUAAAUCUUCAUAAGCUAUAACUUUAAUAUAAUAGACCUACUUGACUACGUCGAGACAUAUAAAAUUAUGACAAAAAUCCAAUUUAUUAUAAGAUAUGAUUAUAAUAAUAACCUCAAAUACAUAGAUCUGCCAAUUUGGUAUACAACAGAAAACAAAUGACACGAAAAAUAUGGAUAUCGAUUCACCAUUUUGUUAUACGAAUACGAAAGUAUACGAUCGUAAAACGUGUUCAGGUCAGAACUCUCAGGUGCAUUGCCUAAAGCAUAUAAUGCACCUGAGAGUUUUGACCCGAACACGUCAAAAUAUAAAGGGAUAUUUCUAAUGGUCCAUUUUAUGAUCGGGUACUUUCGUAUUCGUAUAUCGAAAUGGUAAUCGUUUUCCUUAUUUUUCGUGUCAAUUUUUCUUUUGUGUCGCAUACCAAAUUAAUGGCUUUAUCUAUUUUAGGUUUUUAUUAAAUUAUGUCUUCUAAUAAAUUAGAUUUUUUCUCAUAAAUUUAUAUGUAUAUUGUAUAGUCAGAUAGGUCUAUUAUAUUAAUGUAGUAGCUUACGAAGGUCAAUACAUUUAAUUAGUUUAAAUUUUAAUUAUGGGAGUCAUGUAAUGUAUUUAAAUUGUGCUGAUGUGAUUAGAGUCCUAAGAUUUGCAAAGAGUUGAGGAAGUUGAUGUGAUUCCUAUGUAGUUCCUAUGUAGUUGUUGAAAACUACUCGGUAUAUUUUGGAUUUACCUCACAUUUUCUUCUAUGUAUGCCCAAUAACUAGUUUAUUUCCCGUAUUACGGAGCACAAACAAAGAAACUAAAAUAUCCACAAAUGCCACAUAGGAAUCGCAUCAAGUUCCUCAACUCUUUGCAAAUCUCAUAACUGUAAUCCCAAUAGCACUGUUUAAAUAGAUUACAUGACUCCCGGAUUUAAAAGUUGAAUGUUUAUAUCUUCAUUUGUACGAAGCGAAAAUUAAAUUAUGGGUCAAAUAAGAUUCUGACACUAUAGAUUGGGGAUUUAAUCAUUCCCUAUCUACACUCAUUUUUAGUAAAUCAAAAUACAAACCAACCAGUCCCGAAUUAUAAUUUCAUCAAACACAGAUGAACAAGCAUACAUAAAAUUACUUUGCAAAAACAACAGGUAGCACAUACCAAAACAUAACGAAAUCGACAGGAACAGUUGAGCACCACCAAAUCAGAACUUUAUAUACAUGAGAAUUUAAAGAUUAACAUACCAGAAAUCCUCUUCACGAAUUCAGCAAACCAAAUAACGUAAUUCACAUCAGGGAAUUCUCCAAUAUUUGCUUCACUGCUUUCCAUUCUCUUAAAUCAAAGUUCUUAAAAACUUCAAAUUAGAAAGAGAUAAAAAAAAGUGGUUCGAGGAAUGAUGAUUGUUUUUCCUUACCACCGGAGAAUAACUCUAAAGUUUGCGACUUUAAAGUUUGUUGGAACACAAAGGUAUAUAAAAAGUAUAUGUGUUCUAAAGCAAGAACUUGGAGAAUUUCAGACAAUGAUACCAAAGUUCUGCUUUUCUUGCUGAGGCUUCAACUUUGUUUACAUAGUAAUUACACAAGUGAAUAUAUAAAUUUCUCCAUCCAUUACCUAGUACCUACUCUCCCUGAGUUUCUGUAAAUGCUUUGCCGAUUCACAUCUGGGGUUUACAAUUACAAGUCCAGAGUAUCUCCCAUUUUCAAUCAACGCCGUCUGAACAAACAAAUCAGACCCAAAACCUCUAAUCAUCAGUAUCUAAAGUAUCUGGUUGGGGACUUCUGUCAAACAGGUGGCGCGCAUACGAGACCUCAUCGGUGACCCGUGAAAACAUCUUACGUAAUAGCUAGGUUAGGGCAACAACGUUGAUAUCUAAAGCGGUUUUGAAGAUAAGCAGGGAUUUGGAGAAGAUGAUUGAGGUUAGACGAGUGUUCUCACGGUUGAAUCCCUGUAUCGGCGUUCUUCACGAAGAUCCUGUUUAAUAUUUGAAACAGAUUUUCCUUAUUUGGGGAUAACAUUCUGAUUAUUUUUUUUAAAUCAAUGAUCUAUUGAAAAAAAAUCCUCAUAAAUUGAGGUGUAUUUUAUUCGAAUUUUAAUAGACUGAUUUUCAUCUAUACAUUUUAAUGUAUUGUAUGUAAUUUUGUUUUACGCAAAUUUUGAAAAAAUGUCGUAGAAUUGGUACAAAUUCUUUAAUAUUUAAGUACAAUACUUCAAAAUCUCAUGAAUUUUGAUGGAAUUUCAAAAAAUUUAAAAUUCAAUGAAAAAUCUCAUAAAAUCCAUCAUUUUAUGAAAUCCAUAAAAAUCCAAUACCAUUUAUAUAUCAUAUGAAUUUUAAACAAUUCAGAUUAAAUAUCAUUGGAUUUUUUAGUAUAAUUUAAAAUUCUAAUUGAAUAUUAUCAGAUUUUAUAGCAUAAUUUAAAAUCACAAUCGAAUAUUCAAAAUUUUUUAAUGAAUUUUAAACAAUCGCAAUUGAAUAUACGCAGAUUUCAUGAAUGAAAAAAAAAUAUAUUUUUUAAAAUUCCAAUCGAAUACACCCCCUAAGUAAUCUCGAAUUUAUAAAUCAAUGGAUAAGUUGUGAUUCAUGAUUUUUAUAAUCAUGGCUCCAAUAUUUUNUUAUAAUCAUGGCUCUAAUAUUUUUAUGCACACUUUUUUAUAUUCUUUCUCUUAAUCGAGUAAUAACAAAAAUCUAAAAGAUUAUAUGGCUUGUUUUAUAAUUGCCCAACCUCUUAAAUUUUUUUAUAAAAAUAUUGUUGCAAACUUUCAAUAUUUUAAAAAUUCAUUUAUUUAUUUUUUUGAUACAAAAAAUAUCAUUUAUUAUAAAUUAUUUAUAAAAAUACGACUUGCAAAUUCUGCAAUCUCGUUUUGCAACACCAUUUGCAAAAUUUGCAAAUGAGAAAUUUCAUUUGCAACUUAUGCAACUUCAUUUGCAACAGUUGCAAACUGAUGUUGCAAAAGCGGGUUGCAAGUGGUACUUUUAAAAAUAACUAGUUGAGAAACCGCGCGUUGCGGCGGCUUAUAAAAAAUAUAUUAAUGAUUCAAUGUUAAUAUGUGUAAAAUGCUAAUACUAAUAUAUAAAAUUGUAAAAUUGGACUAUAAUUCAUGGUAAAAAAAUGAAAAUAAAUUUCUACACGUAAUUAACAAUUUAAAGCACGACGAAUCUUAAUUUAUUUGUGUUUUUUUUAAAAAGUAAUCAUGUUCUUACAUUGUCACCUUCCUCCAAUUUUUUUCCGAUUGAUUGUGCACAAAAACAUGUAACUUAAAUCCGUGAGAUAACAGUCUAUAACUACCCUUACUUGUAACAAUAAUACUGUAUGAACAGUCUUCACUUAAAAGUUGCUUGAACGGAGAAAACAGAUAAUGAUGAAUAAUAUUUUUCCGUGUACAAUGUAAAUCAUAUAAAAAAUUAACAACAACAAACAUGUCCGAUGAACAAAAGAAAAUAUUAUAAAAGAAUAACCAACAAACAUACAUCACUAAUAGUUAAUUUAUUGAUAUCAUCCAUCAAUAUCAUGUCAAGACUAUAUUUUUCUCCCGUGUUUAGAUUUGUCGAAUCCUACAUAACGGUCUAUAACUACUUUUGCUUGAAUCAACCUUUAUUUUUUUAAUACCGUAUAAACAGCCUUCACUUAUCAUUGUAGAAAAACGACACCACCGAGUUAGAAAUCGAGCAAGAAAAUUAUCACCAGAGAGAGGUAGGGUUGUGGUAUUGAGAGAGAGUAUGUUGUGUUUAGAUGAUCCAAAACCCUACAACCUAUAGGGGUAUUUAUAAGUGCAGAAAGACUUGUGUGUGUUACUCUUUUCCAUAAUUAAAUAAUCCGAAACAAAAUCAGAUUAAAACUUUCAAGCUGCUAUAUUCCAUAAAUAAUCUGAAACAAAAUCAAAUUCUGAAACUUGCGAAAAUUCCAGAAAAUUAGAAAAAUAGAACAGAGCGAUGUGAGAGGCGCCACCUACACGCCCCUCGCUUCUCCUUUAUAUAGAAAUGAUUUGAAAAAAAAUUGUAUAUUAAAAAAAUUUCGUAAAUAAUUUAUAAGGAGUUGGUAUAUUUAUAAAUAUCCCAAAACUGAUAUUAAUCUUUAUUUAAUUUUAAUUAUUCUUCCUCACAUUCACUACGAGAAGAAUGGGGAAGACUUCUUUAUCGUGUUGAUGGUGAUUAAAGAUACGAGCAUUUACUUUCAAAAAAAAAAAAAGAUACGAGCAUUAAUAAAUAAUUAAAAUAUUUAUGAUUGAAAUUUAAAUAAAUUUCUUCAUAUUAAAUUUAGAAACUUGUUUUUUGUCAUACAAAUUUAGGAAUUUAUUUUAAGAUAAAUGUAGGAGUAUAAUACAAAAUUAAUUUUUUUAAUAAAUAAAAUUUAGUUUUGGAAGGUGUUUAUAGAAAAAAGUAUUUAUUUUAAAAAAUAUGAGGACUUUUUUUAUUUAAUAUUUUUUAGCUAUUUGCAUCUUAUAAUCACUGGAACCAAAGAUGACAACAAAUGAGGAGACUUACUCCUUCCGUCCAAUUCAUUUCUACAACGUCUAUAGGAUGUCUCAUUAUUUAUAUACAUUCUCAAAAUAAUAUCAUUUAAUAAUAUAUCUAUACAAUCUAUUUAUAGGAUGUCUCAUUAUUUCUAUACAUUCUUAAAAUAAUAAUUUUUAAUGAUAUAAAACAUUAUUACGAAAAUAUAUAAAUAUAUACAUUCUCAAAAUAAUAACUUUUAAUAAUAUAAAACAUUAUUACGAAAGAAUAUAAAUAAAGACAAACCUUCUUUCUACGAAAGAAUAUAAAAAUCUAGUUGAUCUUCGUAACAAAUCAUCUGAACAAGAGCAUGUAAAAUAAAGAUACUAAACAAACUCAUGAACAAAAGAUCACUGACCACAAAAAUAAAGAUACUAAACAAACUCAUGAACAAAAAAUCACUGACCACAAAAAUAAAGAAUCACACAACAUACGAAUAAAAAGGUUGAAACCACAUAAAUAUUUGGCAGAGAUGGUGCAAAUCUUUCUAACAAAUACAAAAUUAAUCUUUAAAAUUUGUGAGUCAUAAAGUCCGGAUGAUGACCUUGCGACUGAGAUAGCUCACGAUGCCUCUAAUCAUUCAUAUCAGUGACAAUGUUAUGCAAGAUGCAGCAGGCCUUGAUCAUACUCCGAAGCUUCUCAGGUUUCAUUCCGGUUGUAAGAACCUUCCAUUCUUCCUUUAGCCUAUCCAAUUUCUCAACACUCAUUCCCUCUUCAACGGCACUAUCCAAUGUCUCAGCACUCGUUCCCCCUUUAGUGGCAGCGCCAGGCCCAUGGAGGUGGCUAAGGCCAUUUACUGCCUCCACAAAGGACCGUGUGACCUUAUCCACGGUAAAUGAGUGCAUCCCAAUUUCGUUACCGAUUGAGUUCAGCGACUUCCCCAAUUUAAGCCUUCUCAUAGCUAUGGCCACUUUAGCAUCCACGGUUAAUUCCCUGUUAUCGUUAAAUUUGUAUUUCGGUGAAUUGCNN